GUUUACACCACGAAUGUAUCAUGCGAGUAAUAAGUCGCUGAGCCAAGAGUAAGUCAUGCUAAAGAGUAAGUGACGACUUCGAAAACGGAAACUCGGGGAGAGUUAAUGACGAAUCCGCGUGUUCCAGAUAAGUUUGAAACUGUGAAUCAAGCAGCGACGAAGCACGGAUACACGCAGAGAAAGUCAGGCAACAGCCACUGAGUUGAAGUGGGAAGAGGAAAAGCGCAGAAACAAACGCCUUUUUUGAGCCGUGCCUCUCUCCACAGGUUCACGCCGAACAGAAAGUGCUGCAAAAUGUGUUCAACGGAGGAAAGGGAGGGAAAAUAAAGACGACUAAACAGUACCUGAAAUGAGCACCAUUAAAGCGCAGGAGGUCGGUUUUCCCUCUCUCCUCCAGGACAGUCUUCAACAGCAUCCACACGGUGCGGGGUUUUAGGACCCGACGGAACUGUAAAAAAGUCAUUCAGCCAACAGCUUCGCCAUACUGACUUCGUCACGUGUCCAACAACCUCCUGUAUUUCCGUAAGUGGGCGGAGUCUGCGGGACGGGGAUGACUGACAGGGAAGUCUAAUGAUGUCAGCGCGAGGAGACCAUGGAUGGAGGAGACACAUGAAUGAAGAGUGUCAAUUGUGAUCCACAGGUGUUUGUGUGUGAUAACUAUUUUUGAUAAUCGAUUAAUCGGUUUGAAGCUUUUUUCAUUAUUAAAAAAUGAUUUCUGA